UGGGGGAUAUUGCACAAUGGGCGAAAGCCUGAUGCAGCGACGCCGCGUGGGGGAUGAAGGCUUUCGGGUUGUAAACCUCUUUCGCUAUCGAACAAGGCCCGCUUAGGGUGGGUUGAGGGUAGGUGGAGAAGAAGCGCCGGCUAACUACGUGCCAGCAGCCGCGGUAAUACGUAGGGCGCGAGCGUUGUCCGGAAUUAUUGGGCGUAAAGGGCUUGUAGGCGGCUUGUUGCGCCUGCUGUGAAAACGCGGGGCUUAACUUCGCGCGUGCAGUGGGUACGGGCAGGCUUGAGUGUGGUAGGGGUGACUGGAAUUCCAGGUGUAGCGGUGGAAUGCGCAGAUAUCUGGAGGGACGCCGAUGGAUAAGGCAGGUCACUGGGCCAUUACUGACGCUGAGGAGCGAAAGCAUGGGUAGCGAACAGG
rnacentral:rRNA from 1 species